rnacentral:rRNA from 1 species
AUUGCACGCUGGCGGCAAGCCUAACACAUGCAAGUCGAACGAGUGGCGGACGGGUGAGUAAUGUCUGGGAAACUGCCUGAUGGAGGGGGAUCACUACUGGAAACGGUAGCUAAUACCGCAUACCAUCGGAUGUGCCCAGAUGGGAUUAGCUAGAAGGUGGGGUAAAGGCUCACCUAGGCGACGAUCCCUAGCUGGUCUGAGAGGAUGACCAGCCACACUGGAACUGAGACACGGUCCAGACUCCUACGGGAGGCAGCAGUGGGGAAUAUUGCACAAGGGGCGCAAGCCUGAUGCAGCCAUGCCGCGUGUAUGAAGAAGGCCUUCGGGUUGUAAAGUACUUUCAGCGGGGAGGCGUUACCCGCAGAAGAAGCACCGGCUAACUCCGUGCCAGCAGCCGCGUAAUUC